rnacentral:rRNA from 1 species
AAGCUCGUAGUUGAAUUUCGGGAUUUGUCCAUUGGUCAGGCUUAACUGUCUGCACUGGUGUGACGAGUUCCUACCUUCUGAGGAAUCUCCAUGUCAUUCAGUUGGUGUGGGGGGAAAUCAGGACUGUUACUUUGAAAAAAUUAGAGUGUUUAAAGCAGGCAUCCGUCUGAAUACAUUAGCAUGGAAUAAUAAAAUAGGACGGUUUGGUUCUAUUUUGUUGGUUUCUAGGAUCACCGUAAUGAUUAAUAGGGAUAGUUGGG